AGUUGGAGACGCCCGAAGCCGAUUAUCUAACCUUUUGGAAGAAGUCGUCGAAGGUGGAAUCAAUAACUGGGGUGAAGUCGUAACAAGGUAGCCGUAUCGGAAGGUGCGGCUGGAUCACCUCCUUU
rnacentral:rRNA from 1 species